AAGCCCCUUAAAUUUUUUUUUUUUGGUCUCUGUUCAUUGUAUUUUAAUCACUUGCAUUGAUCAUGUUUUGUUACAGUCAAAUAUGUUAACAUAAAAAUGUUAUUAUGUCCAUCAUGCAAUGCAGUUUUGAUGAGUUCUUGAUGGAUAUGAAGCAAAGUAAAAGGAAAAAUAUUCGUCAAGAACGCAAAAAGGUGCAUCUCAUUUUCUUCUUCAUGCAUACCAGUCCUUGCAUGAGUUUCAAUUGGGACUUGGGACAACCUUCUUGCAAAAUUGUGCCUUGGGUCUCAGGAUAAUCGAUCUUCUUUUCCCAAUAUGGAUUAUUCGAGAAAAUACACCGACACACAUGCGCAUGCUAUUUAUAGUUAAAAAUAAUUUCUUUCUUUCUCUUUUUUUUUUCCUGCUCAUAUCAAAUCUCCUUCAAGCAAAAUGACAUUAAUACUGGAUUCUUUGUUGUGAUCUAACAAAGUCAACAUACAUUAGUUCCAGUUAUAAUUAUCAUGUACAAUGGAAAGGUAUAAUAAUCAUGGAAAAGUUUAGGAACAAUCAAAUAUGAUCAUUUUAGUAUAUUGCUUAAAUUUACUACAUGUAUAUGGCAUUGUGAAGAACCACUUGACUGAGAGAUUUCGCACAAGUAAAGAAAUAGGUUGGCUACAGACAAACAUUUCUCUUAGCAGCAUUGUGCAUUUUUUACUUCAUAUACAAGCAAAAUUCAAACUUUGGGGCCAGCUUAGAACUGUAUAUUGUUUCUGAAAGUUGCUAUCUUCAAAUGACCGUGUUAUUAGAAAAUAUUGAUUUAAGAAAGAUAAUGAUAAUUCUUGGCAUUGUCCCUCCACAAUCUCUGAGUAUCAUAGCAGCAUUAAUUUAAUCAAAUCAAGAAUCCUAGUCUAGUUGCAAACAAAUUUACUCUUCCUCCCUUCCUCCCUCCCUCCCUCCCUCUUUGACUUAAUGUGUUAAGUGACAGGUGCUUCCAUAGUCAGUUAGCGUCUACAUUGAACAUGAAAGUCACCACUUUCUAACUCAACUUCUAAAUGCAGAUUUCAGUGCAAAACUUGACUAUGAAACGGCUUCGGGGUUAUGAAAUAAAGGUACUUGGUUAUUUGUAUUUGCAAACGAUGAAUGUUAUUGGCAAUUUAUUGUGUAAUUUUCUAAUCUGUUCAUGAUCCUGCUAGCAAUUUUGAUGCAGAGCAUUGUUGGGUGAAGAAACAAGUCACAUAACAAUGGAAGCAUGCUGGUGUGAAAAGGGGGAAAAGUAGCAAUUUUAGCAAGUUUGGGCAAAGAUGAUUUUUCUGGG
rnacentral:misc_RNA from 1 species